GACGAACGCUGGCGGCGUGCCUAAUACAUGCCAGUCGAGCGAAGUUUUUCUGGUGCUUGCCCUAGAAAAACUUAGCGGCGAACGGGUGAGUAACACGUAAAGAACCUGCCUCAUAGACUGGGACAACUAUUGGAAACGAUAGCUAAUACCGGAUAACAGUAUUUCUCGCAUGAGAGAUAUUUAAAAGUUGGUUAUGCUAACACUAUGGGAUGGCUUUGCGGUGCAUUAGCUAGUUGGUGGGGUAAAGGCCCACCAAGGCGACGAUGCAUAGCCGACCUGAGAGGGUGAUCGGCCACACUGGGACUGAGACACGGCCCAGACUCCUACGGGAGGCAGCAGUAGGGAAUCUUCCGCAAUGGGCGAAAGCCUGACGGAGCAACGCCGCGUGAGUGAAGAAGGAUUUCGGUUCGUAAAGCUCUGUUGUUAGGGAAGAAUGGAUAUGUAGUAACUAUACAUGUAAGAGACGGUACCUAACCAGAAAGCCACGGCUAACUACGUG
rnacentral:rRNA from 1 species